rnacentral:rRNA from 1 species
AUCUACGGCCAUGCCACCCCGAACAAGCCCAAUCCCAUCUGAUCUUGGAAGCUAAACAGGGUCGGGCCUGGUUAGUACUUGGAUGGGAGAAUAUCUAGGAAGACUAGGUGCUGUAGGAG